rnacentral:rRNA from 1 species
GACAGAGGGUGCAAACGUUGUUCGGAAUUACUGGGCGUAAAGCGCGUGUAGGCUGCUCUGCAAGUCAGGUGUGAAAGCCCUGGGCUCAACCUAGGAAGUGCACUUGAAACUGCAGAGCUUGAAUGCUGGAGAGGGAAGCGGAAUUCUCGGUGUAGAGGUGAAAUUCGUAGAUAUCGAGAGGAACACCGGUGGCGAAGGCGGCCCGCUGGGCAGGAAGACACCGCAAGGUGUCGGCUGACGCUGAGGCGCGACAGCGUGGGGAGCAAACAGG